rnacentral:tRNA from 1 species
AGGUCCGUAGCUCAGUGGUAGAGCACCGGCCUUUUAAGCCGGGUGUCGAGGGUUCGAUUCCCUCCGGACCUACCA